AACUUUCAACAACGGAUCUCUUGGUUCUGGCAUCGAUGAAAAAACGCAGCGAAAUGCGAUAAGUAAUGUGAAUUGCAAAAUUCAGUGAAUCAUCGAAUCUUUGAACGCACAUUGCGCCCAUUAGUAUUCUAGUGGGCAUGCCUAUUCGAGCGUCAU
rnacentral:rRNA from 1 species